UCGAACGGUAACAGGAAGCAGCUUGCUGCUUCGCUGACGAGUGGCGGACGGGUGAGUAAUGUCUGGGAAACUGCCUGAUGGAGGGGGAUAACUACUGGAAACGGUAGCUAAUACCGCAUAACGUCGCAAGACCAAAGAGGGGGACCUUCGGGCCUCUUGCCAUCGGAUGUGCCCAGAUGGGAUUAGCUAGUAGGUGGGGUAACGGCUCACCUAGGCGACGAUCCCUAGCUGGUCUGAGAGGAUGACCAGCCACACUGGAACUGAGACACGGUCCAGACUCCUACGGGAGGCAGCAGUGGGGAAUAUUGCACAAUGGGCGCAAGCCUGAUGCAGCCAUGCCGCGUGUAUGAAGGAGGCCUUCGGGUUGUAAAGUACUUUCAGCGGGGAGGAAGGCGACAGGGUUAAUAGGCCUGUCGAUUGACGUUACCCGCAGAAGAAGCACCGGCUAACUCCGUGCCAGCAGCCGCGGUAAUACGGAGGGUGCAAGCGUUAAUCGGAAUUACUGGGCGUAAAGCGCACGCAGGCGGUCUGUCAAGUCGGAUGUGAAAUCCCCGGGCUCAGCCUGGGAACUGCAUUCGAAACUGGCAGGCUAGAGUCUUGUAGAGGGGGGUAGAAUUCCAGGUGUAGCGGUGAAAUGCGUAGAGAUCUGGAGGAAUACCGGUGGCGAAGGCGGCCCCCUGGACAAAGACUGACGCUCAGGUGCGAAAGCGUGG
rnacentral:rRNA from 1 species